AUUUAUUAAUAUAAGAAAGCAAAUCCGCUGAACUUAAGCAUAUUAUUAAGCGGAAGAAAAGAAAAUAACAAUGAUUCUUUUAGUAACGGCGAGUGAACAAAGAAAAGCUCAACAUGGAAAAUCCGACAGAUAGCUACCCGCGAUUUGUCGGAAUUGUCAAGUUGAAAAACAUUCCAAGAGUUCUUUUUUAUAAUAUGACAAUGAGAAGAAGUAGAUAGAAAUGUCUCUCCUUAGAGGGUGAAAGACCCGUAUUCUUAAUCAUAAAACUGAUCAAUUGGAAUGUUUUGUUUUUGAGUCGUGUUCUUUGAGACUGGAGCACUAAUUAGUGUGAUACAUUUCACAUAAAGCUAAAUAUUUGUAAGAAACCGAUAGUAAACAAGUACCGUGAGGGAAAGAUGAAAUAGUACUCAGGAAUGAGCAAUUAAAUAGUACCUGAAAUCGUUAAGAUGGAACGGAUUAAAAAAGGAAAAAAGUAACAACAUAGUUAAAAUGAGAGAUUUUGGUGCGCGCAAUAAAGAAUGGAGUCCUUAAAAAAGGAUGUAGAUAUUCAAGUAUCAAAACAAAAUUUUUCUUUUUUUAAAAAGAAAUUUUUUGAAGCUUUUGUUAUAAUAUUCAUUUUUAUUCUUAUCCUUUUUUUUAGGUAAGAUAAAAAUGAUACAAAAGUUGUCUUUCAUACUAUAUAUAUAUAUAUAUAUAUAUAUAUAAAUAUUAUGUUCUUAUUAAAAGAAACAUGAGUGAAUGAAAAUAAAUAAUCGUGGAGCAAAAAUAAACACAAUAACAAGAAAAAAAAAUAAAAAAAAUAAAAUAAAAUAAUUAAAAUAAAAAUAAAACAAAAAGAAACAAAAAAAAGCAAAAUAUAAAAUAAAAGAAUUAAUUGAAUUUAAUUUCAUUUUAUUUUUUUCCUUUUAUAUUUUGCUUUUUUAUUUUGUUCUAUUUUUAUUUUAAUUAUUAUUUUUUUUUUUUUUUUUUUUUCCCUUAUUGACUAUUUUUCUAAGCUAAUGUGGAAAAAUAUAACUUGCUUCUUUUUUUUUUUUUCUUUUCUGAAGGGAGAAAAAAAAGAAAAAUAUGAAAGAUACAUUUAUUUAAUUUACUGAGGAUUGUGAAAAUUAUAUUAAUUGUAUAUGAUGCGAAAUAAUAUAAUUUAAGAUGUUUUUAUAAAGUACUUUUUUAACCCACUCGUCUUGAAACACGGACCAAGGAGUCUAGCAAAUGUGCAAGUGUAUAUGAUAAGAAUAAACAUAGUAUAAAAAUUUCUACGCAUAAUUAAUGUAACAAAAAUAUAUGUUUAUUAAUUGUAGAUUUUGUGGGGUUUUAAAUUUUUUUUAUAAAUCCACACAAAUGCAUACAAUACCGGUGAGCAAUUAUGCUUUAUUGAGUAAGAGCAUACUUGUUAGGACCCGAGAGGCUUUGAACUAAACGUGAUGAGAUUGAAGUCAGACGAAAGUCUGAUGGAGGAUCGAGUUGAUACUGACGUGCAAAUCGUUCAUUUCAAUUGCGUUUAGGGGCGAAAGACUAAUCGAAAAGCCUAUUAGCUGGUUAUUUUCGAAAGAUCUCUCAGGAUCGCUGGAGUUGAUUAUAAUAUAGUUUUACCUGGUAGAAAUAAUGAUUAGAGGAUUCAAGGAGAUGAUAAUUCCUUGACCUAUAUAUAUCGAAAGAUUCAAUAGGUAAAAAAAUGAGGAAAUAACUUUAUUGUAUUUUCAUUCAUAUUUAAAAAUAAGAUAACUCCAAGUUGGCCAUUUUUGGUAAGCAGAACUGGCGAUGAGGGAUGCUCCUAACGCUUGGAUAAGGUGCCUAAAUAUCCGCUCAUUAGAUACCAUUAAAAAGGUGUUGGUUUGUGAUUACAGUAGGACGGUAUUCAUAGAAGUUGAAAUCCGCUAGGAAGUGUGUAACAACUUACCUACCUAAUAAACUCGCCCUGAAAAUGGAUGGCGCUAAAGCGGAUUACCGAUACCAAGCCAUAAAAAAGAAAAAAAAAAAAAAUUCAAUAUUUUUUUUAUUUUUUUAGAUUCUUUUUAUGAGUAGAAAAUCGUGGGGUUUUGUGUUGAAGCGAAAUACGUGAGUUUUCGUGGAACAUCUCCCUAGUGCAGAUCUUGGUGGAAGUAGCAACUAUUCUUAUGAGAACUUUGAAGACUGAAGUGGAGAAGGGUUUUUUGUAAACUAUGUUUGAGCAAAAGUUAGCCGUUCCUAAGAGAUAGCUGAAAAGCGUUAUAAAUUGAGGUUACCUAUUAUAUGAAAAGUAUAGUAGUGUUUUUUCUCUUCUCGAAAGGGAAGCAGGUUGAUAUUCCUGCGCCAUAUGUAAUAAGAACUAAUAAAUAGAGAUGGUAACAUAUAUAUAAAUAAAUGAACUCCUUAACAUAGGCCUUACGCUUGGAGUGCGUUAUCUUUGCACUUUAACUUUAUAUCAAACCUUCGAAAUCGAUUUACUUGUAGAAAAGGUUCGAUGAAUUUACAAUAAGCAAUUUAUUUAUUAUAUGCGUGGACCGGUACACAUGAUAUAUAUAUUAAUGAAUUGUUUUGUAGUAAUAGUAAUUCGUUUGUUGUACGAAUUAUCCAAAGUUGUAUGGACUAUCCAUGAAAAAAGGAGGGAACACUAAAUUAAAUGGGAAUGUAUAAAAUACUAUAAAAGUAUGAAAGAAGAAAAAGUAAAGAAAGGAAAGAAAAAAAAAUAUUAACCUUCAGCUUUUUUUUCUAUUUUUUUUUUCUUUUUUUGCUUUCAUAUAUUUUUAUAGUGUUUUUACAUUAACCAUUUUUUUUUUUAUAUUCUUAAAUUACAAUUAUAAAAAUGAACGUACCAAUAACCGCAUCAGGUCUCCAAGGUUAGUAGCCUCUGGUUAAAUAGAAAAACGUAGGUAAGGGAAGUAAGCAAAUUAGAUCCGUAACUUCGGGAAAAGGAUUGGCUCUGAUAACACAAAAUGAGAAGAAAAAAAUGAAAAGAAAAAAAUGAAAAGAAUUGUGGUUGAAAAUAAAAAUGUUAAGAUGUUUAUUUAUAUAUUUAUAUUAGUUUUUCUUAUAUUUUAAGAUUAAUUAAUUAAUUAUAUAUUUAAUAUGUUAAAAUGUUUUAUAUUUCUUCUUCUACUCUAUUCUAUUCCAUUCUAUUCUAUUCUAUUUUUUUUUUUCUCUUUCUCUUCGAUAUUACAUAUAUUUUGUUAUUAUAAUAAAAAUUAUGUAAUAUUGUUUAGCUGUGUUUAUUCAGAACUGAAACGGACAAGGGGAAUCCGACUGUUUAAUAAAAACAUAGCAUUGUGAAAAGCUAUAACUGGUAUUAACACAAUGUGAUUUCUGCCCAGUGCUUUGAAUGUCAAGUUGAUGAAAAUUUCAAUUAAGCGCAGGUAAACGGCGGGAGUAACUAUUAUGACUCUCUUAAGGUAGCCAAAAAUGUAUGGUCGAUAAAAAGGACCAUCAGGAAUGGAUUAACGAGAUUCCUACUGUCCCUACUUGCGAUCUAGCGAAACCACAACCAAGGGAAAGGGCUUGGUAAAAUCAGCAGGGAAAGAAGACCCUGUUGUGCUUUACUCUAGUCUGACUUUGUAAAAAGAUUUAAGAGGUAUAGUAUAAGUGGUAGUAGAAAUUGAAAUAAUGUUUUUACGUCAGUGAAAUACCACUACUUUUAAAAAGUUUUUACUAAUCCAUUUAUCUAGUGAAUGACUAUUAUAUAAAUAUAUAUAUAUAUAUAUUUUCUAUAUUUUAUGUGUAUCACUUUUUAUGGAGACAGAGUCAGGUGGGGAGUUUGACUAAGGUGGUACAUCUGUUAAAAAAUAACGCAGAUGUCCAAAGAUAAGCUCAAGGAGAACAGAAAUCUCUUGUAGACUAAAAGGGGAAAAGCUUGUUUGAUUUCUAUUUUCAGAAAGAAUAGAAAACGUGAAAGCGUGGCCUAUCGAUCCUUUAUAUUUGCAAAAUGACGUAAAAUUAUUUACUACUGUGCAUAUAAAGGUGUCUGAAAAGUUACCACAGGGAUAACUUGUUUGUGGCUGCUUAGCGAUAUUGGCAACGUGGCUUUUUGUAUUUUCGAUUACGGCUCUUCCUAUCAUUGGGACGCAGAAGUCUCAAAGUGUCGGAUUGUUCACCCGCUAAUAGGGAACGUGAGCUGGGUUUAGACCGUCGUGAGACAGGUUAGUUUUACCCUACUGAUGAAUAUUAUUAUAUUAUUAUAUAUAUAUAUAGUAUUGUGACAGUAAUCCAACUUGGUACGAGAGGAUUAGUUGGUUCAGACAAUUGGUACAGCAAUUGGGUUGAUAAACCAGUGUUGCGAAGCUACGUCUGUUGGAUAAUGACUGAACGAUUCUAAAGUCAGAACCCAUACUGAUUAAACAAUAAUAUAAUUGUAUAUUUUUGUUAUAAGGUUGUGUUUUAUUUUUUUUUAUUGCUAAUGUAAAAGAGAAAUUUAAUAUAUGCGUUAAUCUAUAUAUAUUAUGUAUAGAUUUUCAUAAACAUAUAAAUAAUCCCAUAAAGACGUAUCUUUUUUUUUUCUAAACAAAGAAAAAUAUGUUCUUUUUAUUGUAAUUUAACAACAAAAAUAAUCUAAAGCAUAUUGUAGACGACAUUUUUAGCCUCAGAGUGCUGUAAACAUGUGAGCAAACUUGUUUUGCGAACUGUUCAGGCUUAUCUCUUGUGGUUUUUGCUUUU
rnacentral:rRNA from 1 species